rnacentral:rRNA from 1 species
CAGCCGCCGCGGUAAUACCGGCGGCCCGAGUGGCGGCCACUAUUAUUGGGCUUAAAGCGUCCGUAGCCGGGUUGGUUAGUCUCCCGGGAAAUCUGGCCGCUUAACGGUCAGAAUUCCGGGAGAUACUGCCAGCCUAGGGACCGGGAGAGGCCGAGGGUAUUCCCGGAGUAGGGGUGAAAUCCUAUAAUCCCGGGAGGACCACCUGUGGCGAAGGCGCUCGGCUGGAACGGGUCCGACGGUGAGGGACGAAGGCCAGGGGAGCAAACCGGAUUAGAUACCCGGGUAGUCCUGGCGGUAAACGAUGCGGACUUUGUGUCGGACAAGCUAUGAGCUUGUCCGGUGCCGGAGGGAAACCGUUAAGUCCGCCGCCUGGGGAGUACGGCCGCAAGGCUGAAACUUAAAGGAAUUGGUGGG